rnacentral:misc_RNA from 1 species
UGAAAUUCAAGAAGGAAGACUAAA